GGUAUAGCUCAGUGGUAGAGUGCAUGCUUAGCAUGCAUGAGGUCCUGGGUUCAAUUCUCAGUGCC
rnacentral:tRNA from 1 species